GGAAACCUUAUCUGGACUGAUCCAUAUUUUUUCUGUACAGGAUGCACGAAUCCUCCAUCUGUACCAAAUGCAGCAUUACAUAUAGAAUUACUACAGAGUGAUAGUAUGGUGUACUAUGAUUGUGAUAUCGGAUUUAAUUUUAUUGGUUACAAAUACAUUGAUUGUAUUGAUAACUCGUGGACUGUACGGCGAUUCAUUUGUACACCUUGCACAGAACCACCAAGCGUUCAGAACGCUACAUACAAAAUUGAACAGAUCAGCAACAAUUUCGAAGUUUUAUACCAAUGUGAUACUGGAUUACUUUUGAUUGGAAACAAGUUCACACAAUGCCAGGUAGAUGCGACUUGGACAUAUCC